GCUAUCCUAGUGCACGACCUAGCUACCUUAUCUACAAUAAAUAAAUAAUAAAAUUAAAUUAAUUAAAACAUACAUAUGAUUAAUUCAAUAUGAAAUUAAUUUAAGUAUAGAAUUUUUACCAAUCUAUCGAUCACAAUAUGUAUACCAACAGAGCUGUAGUGUGCUUAAUCGGAUGCUACUAGAUAGACCGAUUCUGUCAUGCCCUU
rnacentral:lncRNA from 1 species